UAAGGAAUAUUGGUCAAUGGACGCAAGUCUGAACCAGCCAUGCCGCGUGGAGGAUGAAGGCCCUCUGGGUUGUAAACUUCUUUUAUAUGGGACGAAACCCUCUCAUUCUUGAGAGACUGACGGUACCAUAGGAAUAAGCACCGGCUAACUCCGUGCCAGCAGCCGCGGUAAUACGGAGGGUGCAAGCGUUAUCCGGAUUCACUGGGUUUAAAGGGUGCGUAGGAGGGCAGGUAAGUCAGUGGUGAAAUCCCCGAGCUUAACUUGGGAACUGCCGUUGAUACUAUCUGUCUUGAAUAUUGUGGAGGUGAGCGGAAUAUGUCAUGUAGCGGUGAAAUGCUUAGAUAUGACAUAGAACACCAAUUGCGAAGGCAGCUCGCUACACAAAUAUUGACUCUGAGGCACGAAAGCGUGGGGAUCAAACAGGAUUAGAUACCCUGGUAGUCCACGCCCUAAACGAUGGAUACUCGACAUACGCGAUACACAGUGUGUGUCUGAGCGAAAGCAUUAAGUAUCCCACCUGGGAAGUACGACCGCAAGGUUGAAACUUAAAUGAAUUGACGGGGUCAUAGCUGUUU
rnacentral:rRNA from 1 species